rnacentral:miRNA from 1 species
ACCCAUCCAUUAAAGUAUUAUAAGUAACCACAUCAGGUUUCCAACAUGUUUUCAUCAUCACAGCUAAUACAUUCUUGGCUUUUUUCACCUUUCCUUCUUUACAUAAUGCAUCAACCAACAUAUUA